rnacentral:lncRNA from 1 species
AAAGUGCCAGAGGUGCCCAAGAAGCUCAUCCCAGAAGAAAAGAAACCAACACCUGUUCCGAAAAAAGUGGAAGCACCACCACCCAAAGUGCCAAAGAAACGUGAACCAGUUCCAGUUCCUGUAGCUCUACCUCAGGAAGAGGAAGUUCUAUUUGAAGAAGAAAUUGUUCCUGAAGAGGAAGUUCUACCUGAGGAAGAGGAAGUUCUACCUGAGGAAGAGGAAGUUCUACCUGAAGAAGAGGAAGUUCUACCUGAAGAAGAGGAAAUUCCACCUGAGGAAGAGGAAGUUCCUCCCGAAGAAGAAUAUGUACCUGAGGAAGAAGAAUUUGUACCUGAAGAAGAAGUCCUUCCAGAAGUUAAACCUAAGGUGCCAGUACCUGCACCAGUGCCUGAAGUGCCAAAGAAACCUGUACCAGAGAAGAAAGUCCCUGUUCCCGCCCCUAAAAAAGUGGAACCUCCACCACCACCCAAAGUGCCUGAAGUACCAAAGAAAGUCCCAGAAAAGAAAGUCCUUGUGCCUAAAAAGGAAGCUGUUCCCCCAGCUAAAGGGAGAACUGUCCUUGAAGAAAAAGUAUCAGUUGCCUUCCGCCAAGAAGUAGUAGUAAAAGAAAGACUAGAAUUAGAAGUAGUAGAAGCAGAAGUGGAAGAAAUUCCGGAAGAAGAAGAGUUCCAUGAAGUUGAAGAAUAUUUUGAAGAAGGCGAGUUUCAUGAAGUAGAAGAAUUCAUCAAAUUAGAACAACAUAGAGUUGAAGAAGAACACAGAGUUGAAAAAGUUCAUAGGGUAAUAGAAGUUUUUGAGGCUGAAGAAGUGGAAGUAUUUGAAAAACCAAAAGCUCCACCUAAAGGGCCUGAGAUAUCUGAGAAAAUCAUCCCUCC